CNUUGGAAGACUUUUGAAACUGUUUCGUGUGCAUUAACAGGAAGUUUGGGGCUGCUCGGCUACUCUUUUUGCUUUGUUUUUCUUGCCUGGCGAAGAUUCCACAACAUCCACUGGAACCAGACCUCCCCCUCUUUUUUUUCCCUUUUCUUUUUAAAGAAAACAAAACAAAGCUCUUCGUUCCUCCUUUCUGACCUCUCCCUCCUCCUCCUCUUCCUCCUGCGCUGCCCUGUUUGGAAAGAGAAGAAACCUGAAAAAGACAGACUUCCAGAGAUAAUCACAUGGAAUGACAAUCACACAAAAAGGGAUGCUAAGAAUAAGCAGCUGAAUUCUUGAAUGAGUUUGGAUUCUGGAAGGGCAUCUUCAAAGAGGUCUGCCCAUUAACUGUAGAGAGCCCUAGAUUGGGGAGGGAGCAUAUGCUUGGAAAGAUACCAUUGAACAAUUCCUGUUCUGCUAUAGGAAAAAACUGAUUUCACAAUAGUAAACAUGGAGUUUCUUCGGCUUUUCAGGAGUUUCAUUUGAAAGGAUGAAGAGAUAUUUCCCGACACUGCAACUUAUCUGAUAAAUCAAAUAUACUGCUGUGGGGUGUGUGUGGGGAGAUCUUAAUCACUCUGGACAUGAGUUGAACAACUAAAGUUUUAAUGCAGAAAAAUGCACAGACAAGACAGUGGUCAUCUCUCUUCCGUAGUCUGAAAAGGAAAUGUGCAAUGUUAGUUCUAUAGGACCCAUAUUCUGUUUAGCAGAUGCAUUUAAAAUUCAGUAGAUUGGUUCCUUCUCUGGGCUAUUUCACAAUUCAUCAACCAUUAACAAGAUGUGUUGCAAAACACAGGAAGUUGUCAUCAACCAUGUCAAACCAGAAGUCAGUCUAUCAUAGUAUGGAUGAUGGCUCUCCAGGAUUUAUUACAGAAUAUGCAGUCUCUGAUGCUGCUCCAGGCAACUACUGAUCCUGGGGAUUCUGUCAAGAAGGACCCUAAUGCAAUUAUUUACAAAACCCAAGCUUAAUUCUCAAUUAUUUGUAAAUGGCUCUUGCUGAAAACUUCCUAAGGUGCUAAUUAGGCAGCCAAUUCAAUACAAGUCAACUUCCUGGUCUCCAACUAUCAGAUAUUUUUUAGUUUAGCACAAGCAAAUUUGAAUUAUUGCUUGUGAUAAUUCAUGUCAUAUUCCUCUAAUAAUCAUCAUAUUGUGAUAAUUUGGUUCUAUAAAAGGAUGAAUGGCACUUCACAGAUCCUCUCAUGUUUUACUUGAGUAAGGGUCUUUCAGAGGCAUAUGGCACAAGAGUGACAAAUGAGAAACCUAUUGGUUCAACCUAAAAUAUGAACUGGAAAGGAUAAUAAAAGUCCUUGAUGAAUCUUUGUCCCGGAGGGGGGGGGGGUAUCAAAAUUUGCUUUAUGUGUCUUAUUCAGUCCAUUUCUAACCAUGUUUCCUGAUAUCCCCAAAAAGGAAAUAGCAGCACAAAAUACCACUGAAUUUAAUAAAGGAAGGAGAUUUAAUCUAUAUUUUUCUUUGGUCAAAUGCAACUUUGUAGAAGUUUUCCUUUGCAAUCCAUUAAUCUUACAAAGAUUUCAAGGUAAUUUCCCAACCAUACCUUUAUUAUGAACAUUUUCUUUCAGUAAUUGUCUUCUUUGUUGUUGAAGAAGCUAACUUCAAAGGAAACUAUUGUCACUCAGAAUGUGUGGAGGCAAACCAUCUUGUUUUUUCAGUGGAUAAAGACAAUCACAUAUAAAUUGAACACAAUUCCUGUGUAAAUACAGUGAAGAUUAAAAUAUAGAAAGUACUCAAUUUAUGACCAUUCAUUUAGCAAUCGUUCAAGUUACAGCGAUUCUGAAAAUGUGACUUAUGACUUUCUUCAAACUCACACGUCCGUCGCAUUCACAUGACCAAAGUCCCUGGAAUUGGAAAGAGUCUGUAUUUACAACAGUUGCAUUGCCCUGGGGCCAAAUGAUCAUUAUCUGUGACCUUCCCAAUAGUCUUCCAACAAACAAAGUCAAUGGGGAAAGUUGUAUUUGCUUAAUGAUCUCAUGAUCUACUUAAUAACUGUUGUAUUUGCUUAACAACAGCGGCAAAAAUAGGUGUACAUAUAUGCAUGACUCACUUAAACCAAAACUCUGGUCUCAAAUGUAAUAACUUGAGGUUUACCUGUACCAGAGUACAAUUGAGUUUUAAAAUGGCAUACUAAAGUAAGCUUACUUGUAUUGAUUAUACACUUAUCAGCCAUCUUUACUGAUGUUCUAUUGACAUCUGAUAUCCCAGGUACUUUCAUAUACAAAUGAAAUAGAUUAGUCAGAAUGUUUGCUCAUUGCAGAUGCAGCCACUGAUGAGAAGGAGCGCAUUCUGUGCCUUGCAUUGUGAUUUGGAAAUGUGCCUAUUGUAUCCAAUCUGACUGCUCAGAGCAAUAACUUAGAAGGAAUGAAUACAUUUGUUUCAAGAAGAUGGAAUUUGUUUCAUUAGUAUUGUUUAAAUUAAAUUCGAGGGAGAGAUCAUUUGUAGUGCCGCAUCUAAAGUAUAUUUGUAAAUAGGUAGCUGCAUGGAAGAUACAUAAGCCAUCACCCAACAGAAAAUAAAAAAUGAAAAAGCAUUUUUGAAAUGUUCAUUUUAAGAAAUGCAUAUUUUUAUUUAAGAACAGCUUUUGUCAUAUGCCUUAGACCCAAUCAAAACCCUAGCUUUGUUUUUUGUAAUUUAUAAAAAUAUUCUGCUUUUCUUUUAUACUAUUUUU